rnacentral:tRNA from 1 species
GCCUAGUUAGCUUAGUUGGUAGCGCGUCUGCCUUGUAAGUGCUAAGCCGCGGGUUCGAUUCCCGCCCGGGGCG